rnacentral:misc_RNA from 1 species
AGUAAAAUAGUACGUGAAAUUGUUGAAAGGGAAACGAUUGAAGUCAGUCGUACCGACGAGAAAUCAGCUCUUCGAGUGUUAACCUGUGGGCGUGCGUGAGUCUUUAACGGGCCUCGCUGUUUGCAUGUUUGUGCUUUUUGGGUGUACUUUUUCGUAUGGUUGGCCAACGUCAGUUUCGUUCACCAUAAAAUGAUCAGGGGAAUGUAGCUUCGAUCUCGUAUUGAAGUGUUAUAGACUUUUGUAGAUGUGGUGAACGAAACUGAGGAUUGCAACGAAUACCCUUCGGGCUAUCCGUCUGGCCUCUGAAAGUUGCCUAGGUGCCGAAAGCUUGCUUACGGUCGUCUAAGGUAGCGGUCAAAAGGUUAGAACGUGAUUACAUUCGUUAAGGACGUUGGCGUAAUGGCUUUAAA